UACGUAGGGUGCGAGCGUUGUCCGGAUUUAUUGGGCGUAAAGAGCUCGUAGGCGGUCUGUCGCGUCGGUCGUGAAAACUUGGGGCUUAACCCUGAGCUUGCGGUCGAUACGGGCAUGACUGGAGUUCGGCAGGGGAGACUGGAAUUCCUGGUGUAGCGGUGAAAUGCGCAGAUAUCAGGAGGAACACCGGUGGCGAAGGCGGGUCUCUGGGCCGAUACUGACGCUGAGGAGCGAAAGCGUGGGGAGCGAACAGG
rnacentral:rRNA from 1 species